rnacentral:lncRNA from 10 species
UUACCCUGGGGGCUGUCUUCCCUCUGUGAGGACCCCAGCAAGGACUCAUGAUGUCCACAGGUGCUUAGGGGUGGCCUCUGGGCUACUUGGCCUCGCUUGACCACACCUUCCGGCCCAGGUGAGCCUUGCGGGUCUAGGUGACCAAUGCGGCCUCCAGGUAAAGGGCACCUGCCUUAGGGGACGCCCACAAGUGUCUGCAUUUCAAACUGCUUUGAAAGACCACCCUAACCGACCACUGCCACAAUGUACCCACAAGUGCAGAUGGUGGCUUUGGUCUCCAAGAUGUAAGGAAAGGGCGACACAUUCCCCACUGCGUAGGAAAGCACACGGUUUGCCUGACUGGCCUUCAAUACUGCAGAAACAUCCAUUUAUGCAGUGGCCCACCGAAGGCCAUCAGUGCCUUGAGUCCAUACACAGCGCGGGAAGGGCAGCUCUGUGGGCCCCCACUCCUCCCGGAAGGCAGACAGGCCCAGGACUGGAGCUGAUUGCUAGAGGGAGCCUGGGGGUAGGUCUAGGCAUGAACAGCUCGGAGGACAUCCCUCCUGUGUCUUCAGAGCUCCACACCGCCAGGAGGUCUUGGCCAAGUGCUGUGCAGCUGCAGAGCCGCCUCUUUCAGAAAGAUGGGAAGCAGCAGGGUGGGCAAGAGGGAGGCCCUGAGAUACUUGCCCAAGGAGGGAAGUUCAAGGGGACAAAAAAAGCUCAGUAUUCAAGACUGAGCAUAAUCUGCAGAGCCUAGUGCAAGAUCCAGAUGCAAGUGUCAAUAGGUGUUGGAACAGAGAGACUCCACAUGGGCUGGGUAAACUGAAGCUGAGACCUGCUGGGCCGCACCCCCCAGGAGUUAAGGCGUUCUUAGUAAUCGGAUGAGAUAGGAGGUCGGAACAAGACACAGGUCACAAGGAUCCUGCUGAUAAAACAGGAUGCAGUAAAGAAGCCGGCCAAAUCCCACCAAAACCAAGAUGGCGGGGAAAGUGACCUGUGGCCUUCCUCACUGCUGAUUAUACACUAAUUAUAAUAUAUGAGCUUGGUAAAACACACUCUCGCCAGCGCCAUGACAGUUUUCAAAUGCCAUGGCAACGUUUGGAAGAUACCCUACAUUGCCUAAAAGGGGUCGGGCGCAGUGGCUCACGCCAGUAAUCCCAGCACUUUGGGGAGGCCAAGGCGGGCAGAUUACUUGAGGUCAGGAGUUGAGACCAGCAUGGCCAAUAUGGUGAAACCCCAUCUCUACUAAAAAUACCAAAAAAUUAAGCAGGCGUGGUGGCAUACACCUGUAGUCCCAGCUACUUGGGAGGCUGAGGCAGGAGAAUCGCUUGAACCUGGGAAGCAAAGGUUGCAGUGAGCCGAGAUCACGCCAUUGCACUCCAGCCUGGGCAACGAGCAAGACUCCAUCUCCAAUAAAUAAAUAAAUAAAUGGAAGAGGAAGCCUAAGUUCUGGGAAUUCCCCACCACUUUCCCAGAAAACUCAUGAAUAAUCCACCCCUUGUUUAGCACGUGAUCAAGAAAUAACCAAUAUAAUUCAGGAACGGAUUCUAGGGAAAAAAAAAAGGACCAUAAAAAUAGCCAACCAGCAGCCCUUGGGGCUGCUCUGCCUAUGGAGUAGCCAUUCUUUGGUUUAUUUACUUCUCUAACAAACUCACUUUCACUUUACUCUGUGGAUUCUCCCUGAAUUCUUUCUUGUGUAAACUCCAAGAACCCUCUCUUGGGAUCUGGAUUGAGACCCCAUUCCAGUAAGACAAAGUCCCUGGCUCAG